rnacentral:misc_RNA from 1 species
AGAACUGAAACAUCACAAGGUUUUAAGUUUCAUAAGUUUCCAUGAAUUUUGUUCUUCUUAGUUUCUUUUCUCUCUCUAAGGAGAACAUAUUUCAAUUUAGCUUUUGAUAAGGGGGGUCAAAUAAUUUUUCUAAUAGAAGGAAACAUUGAAUUUUAGCAAGAAAUCAGAACACCUAAGGGGGGCAUUUGUAAGAAUAGCAAGGGGUAUAUUUUAGUGAUAAUUUUUCUUAUAUGGCUUUGCUAUUUGGCUUGUGCCUAAUAUUUCUGACAACUAAUUUUAAGAAUGCUAUGCAGGAUAGUUUAAAAGGAGCAUGCGGAA